CCUAUGACCAGAUGUCAGCAGAAUACAGACCACCAUAAAAAGCGCUGCUCCUGUGCUGAUGGAACUGCAGAGUGCUGCUGAGUCGCUUUCUCCAUUGAUUCCUGCCUCUCCGGCCAUAAUAUCUGACCAAACCUUGGACCGAGUCCUACAGUCCUGAACGAAACCUAAAAAAUGGAUCUUGGGUGUAUUCAGGAACUCUGCGAACAGAAUUUACGGUACUCCACAACCCCUCUGUUAUCCUCACCAGACUGAUUCCUGUACUGAAGUCACUUGUUACCUGUGAUCUCUGGGAUACAUAUACAUAAGAUGACAAAGCCCUUUGAAGGCCGCCAGAUUUAACCCUUGCUACAUGAUUGUCAAAUUCUCCACCACUACCGUAAUCUGCUGCACAGAUAAAAUCCGCAUCAUUUCUGCCUCAUGUGACUUGAGGCUUUGAGCGCCGUUCUGCAUAUGGAAUAACUAGUAUACAUUCUGCCCGCUG